UCGUUCCACUGGAACUGCUCCUGUUAAUCUUCCCCUCCGGAUGGAAGUUGAAGUAGUGGCCUGUUUCCUCUAAGAGAAGUACCUGAAAUAGGACGAAAUGGGGAUGUGGUGACUUUAAGACAUAGGAUACCGUUUACUCCCCAAGAAAUAAAUGAAUUUACACGAAAUAUCCCCACAUAUGAACAAGAUCCUUUUCUAGUAACAAAAAAGAUGGGAGACAUAUUUUUUCAAUAUAAUCCGUCUUACAAGGACGUUGAGAGCUUACUACAGGCUUUUUUAAGUGAACGUGAAAAAAAUAAAAUAAUUGCUCAUGUCAACAAAACCCGGGGGCGUAAUGCAGCACAUUGGCCAUCUCAGGAUCCCGAAUGGGACUAUAAUAAUCCUGAGGACUAUCUACAACUAUACCGUUGUAGAGAGGCCAUCCUCACGGCCAUGAAGGAAUGUGCGGACAGUACAGAUAAGUGGAUGGAACUGGAAAAAAUUAAGCAAAAGGAAAACGAAACACCCUCCAGAUUUAUGGACAGAAUUAUCGAGUUUGGGGACAGAUACUUAGAUUGGGACUUAAAUAAAGAGAAUAGUUUAAGACAAGUUAGAAGAAUCUUUGUAAAUAAUUCUUGCAAAGUAAUUAAAAAUUAUUUUAAAACACAAUGCCCAAGAUGGUCAGAUAUGGACCUUGAAGAAUUGCGAAAAACAGCUAUAUAUGUUUUUAAGGGAAACGAAGAAAAGGAGAAAGAGAAUAAUGAUGACAUGGAGGAAAUGAAGAAAAAAAUGAGAUGUGUAAUAGAUAGGAUAACUAAAUUAGAAAGUGGGCAUGAUAAUGAACCAACGACAAUUGCCCCUCUCCAGAAAUCCAAUUAUCAAUCCAUUACUUGCCACUUCUGUGAGAAGAAGGGCCACAAAAUGAUGGAAUGUAGAACCUUUCUUAAGAUGUUUGGAAGGAAUUACAUAGCUGAUUCCUUGGCGACCUUAAAUUAAUAUAUAUCAGUCUUUUAAAGUGAUUCCCUUGUAACAGAGGGGAAGGGGGGGGGGAAGAAAAUGAUUUUUGUUUCCAAUGAAUAAUGUUUGUA
rnacentral:lncRNA from 1 species